ensembl:lncRNA
AAGUUGAGGUGAAGUGGGAGAGGCUGAUAGGCUCGGAUUGUGUGAGGAGGUGUUCAGUAGGAAGUGGGUGGAAGAGAUAGGAUGAGGGGAAGUAGUGGAGGAGCCUAUGCAACGUCCUCACACAGCAGAGACCCAGCCUACACAACACUACACCUUACCCCGAUCUACGAUCACAUGGAGAUCAUACGCUUUACGCUCACACUUCUUCGAUACGAACAGGAGAACACUAUCCGUGACGACGCCGAGCCGUGUGUGACAACGUGUGUUUAGUGGUUCUACGUGGCUGUGAUCACAUGGACGUCCAGAGAGAAGCUUCUCCCGCCAUCAGCACAUAACAACGCCGCCCGGAUUCCCAUCGAUCGCUCUUAUUUUCCACGCACGGAUCAUCUCUAAGUAUCGCCACCCUUCAUGGUUGUGGUGAUUAUUAUUAGUUGUAAGUGUCUGGGGUGACUGUCAGUACAGUGUAAGCCUGUACUAUUUACACCGUGGGAGCAGACUGUCCGCGCUGUCCAUUCCUUUGUAGCCCGAGGAUAACGGUGUACAACACCAGGCUGUGUGGUGUACACACUUGGACCAACGCAGUGGAUGGUGUAGUAGUAGUAGUAGUACGAUGGACUCGGUUGGAUAAACGGACCUAUAAGCGACACGUUGUUUUUUUAGUGCUGACAUUUAUUCGGGCUGUUAGUCGGCAACACUGCGAUGAAUCAAAGCAAACACGUCGUACCGGAGUGGAGGAGAAGAGGCUGUCAAUAAACAUAACCGCUGGAUUUACAGAUGAAGAACGGGGUUGUUUUUUGCGAUCGCACUCACAACGUGUGUAGGCCUGCAGAGCGCACAGAUAUCCACCCCUGGCUCAGGCUUAUUCAGCAGCUCAGGGUAGUGGUAGUAGUGGUAGUAGCGGAGGUAGAUUGUUGCCUGCUGUAGUACGCUUUCCUCACAACUGUACUCUUAACUGUACAGUGGCCCCAGAGUCGCGCAGUAUCGCUGCACUAACCAUUUAGAAAACAAUAAGAGAACUAGGCUAGUUUUUAACCCACAAGUUCCUCUUCUGGUCAUCCGGACCCAAAGUUCCCCGGCCUGCGUGACUGCAGUGGUGGCAAGACCCGACCUACAUGAGUCCUGGGUUUCCGCCAUGGACGACUCCGGGAUCAUUCGAAGACGGAGGCUACAGAAGGACCUUCCACUGCCCCGGAAAAGUACCAGGUGGGUCCACUUUUUGUCACAUACGCAAAUAGUUUGAUUGUACUGCUGCGUUAAAAUCAUGAUUUCAUGGCGAGAAAACCUGAGAUGUUCCAGACCACAGCGUUUCUAGCUGUGUUUGGUUUGCAGUGUUGUGAGGCAUGUUGUUGUGUGAGCUGUGCCUGGGCUUGAGCCCCUCUGUAGACACAAUCUGUUGCACCAGUGAGCCACGCAAUGGAAACUCUGCUUCAGCAAGCGCCCUGGC